rnacentral:rRNA from 1 species
GACGAACGCUGGCGGCGUGCUUAACACAUGCAAGUCGAACGGAAAGGCCCUGCUUUUGUGGGGUGCUCGAGUGGCGAACGGGUGAGUAACACGUGAGUAACCUGCCCUUGACUUUGGGAUAACUUCAGGAAACUGGGGCUAAUACCGGAUAGGAGCUCCUGCUGCAUGGUGGGGGUUGGAAAGUUUCGGCGGUUGGGGAUGGACUCGCGGCUUAUCAGCUUGUUGGUGGGGUAGUGGCUUACCAAGGCUUUGACGGGUAGCCGGCCUGAGAGGGUGACCGGCCACAAUGGGACUGAGAUACGGACCAGACUCCUACGGGAGGCAGCAGUGGGGAAUAUUGCACAAUGGGCGGAAGCCUGAUGCAGCAACGCCGCGUGCGGGAUGACGGCCUUCGGGUUGUAAACCGAUUUCGCCUGUGACGAAGCGUGAGUGACGGUAAUGGGUAAAGAAGCACCGGCUAACUACGUG